GUAGGUGGCGAGCGUUAUCCGGAAUGAUUGGGCGUAAAGGGAGCGUAGACGGAGUGGCAAGUCUGAUGUGAAAACCCGGGGCUCAACCCCGGGACUGCAUUGGAAACUGUCAAUCUAGAGUACCGGAGAGGUAAGCGGAAUUCCUAGUGUAGCGGUGAAAUGCGUAGAUAUUAGGAGGAACACCAGUGGCGAAGGCGGCUUACUGGACGGUAACUGACGUUGAGGCUCGAAAGCGUGGGGAGCAAACAGGAUUAGAUACCCUGGUAGUCCACGCCGUAAACGAUGACUACUAGGUGUCGGGCAGCAAAGCUGUUCGGUGCCGCAGCAAACGCAAUAAGUAGUCCACCUGGGGAGU
rnacentral:rRNA from 1 species